GCAUUGUGUAUGAGAUGAAUAUUUCUUGAGACUUUUUUGUUUGCUCUACUAAAGAAAUCAACCAAGGGAAAAAAAAUCCAAAAAACAAAACAAACAAAAAACACCCUCUAACUCAUGUGAAGCAUGCAGGGUGUUGUAAUUUCAGUUUGCAAAGCGGUGUGAUACAAUGUUGCUGAGCCAAAAGCACACGAUAGAUUUAAUGUAGCCAAUUGUGUACUUUUGAAAAAAAGAGUAACUGUUCCCUGUGAGUUAAUUUUGGAUUUCUUCAAAAUCUCUCUUUUAGGCUUUGUGCUGGAUUCUUCCAGACAAAUGCGUAUUCCAUGUGGGCCACUGUUCUGCUAAAUGCUCUCAGUUCUCCUUUUGCAAUCAAGAUUAUGUUGCUAAGGAGAUUUUGCUUUUAUUGCUGCCAUUGAUUUGUGUUAAUACGUUUUGAAUACCUCUCGGUAUUCUUUCGUAGACAAGGCCAAAAGAAAAACUUCCCCGAGUUUCCCAAUUUACAUUACAAAUGGAGCGGUGGUGUAAUGAAGCCGAUAUAAAGUGGGCAGUUGAAAGGAGACUAAAGAAGGGCACUCAAGUGAGAAAUGAAGAAAUGUGCCGAGUGCAGUCUGUGGGCUGCCCUUGGUCCAGCUGCAGGAACUGGCUCUGGCCAGAGGUAGAGUGAGUGAGCACCUCCCUCUGCAAAGACCACCCACUUUUGGAGCCUAGGCUGGCACACCAAAGAUUACCUCAUUGAUUAAUACAGGGCUUGAAAAUUUCUGAGGUGGCAAAAUCACUUCUAAAUCUCUUUUUUGAGUCCUUCCUAGAGCAUGACUGAGGCCACACUUCCUGUGCCUUAUGACCUGAAGUUGUAAAGGAUAACCUAUGGAUGGACCAGUUCUUUUGGUUCUGAGGACUAGUGUAUUUCAAAUGUUGGAAUGUAUUCCUAGGUGAGGAGGCUAUUAACUAGAUUAAAUUGGUUUUAGUUAUAUGCUUCUUACUUUGUGUCAUAUUUUAGACUCCAAAAACUGUCUUCCUACCAAAAAAACCCAAGUAUUCCAUCUGUGAGUGGAAAGAGACCAACUAGAUGUGUCUUUAACCAGCGAAGUGGUUUGCUCAGGUUGCAGUGCGUGGAGGUGCUAAAGAAUAGCAUGGGCCGGGCGCAGUGGCUCCUGUAAUCCUUGAAUGACUUUCUAUUGACACGAUUUGUUAUUUCAGCAAAAUAGAAGUCUGUCAGUCUAAUGUUGGAUGAUCUGAUAGUAGUGACAUUAAUUUUAGUAAAACCUACUUUACGUUCUCUAUAGAUAAUAUGCACAUAAAGUCUACAUAAUGUUUUCUUAUGUAAUAAAUGCUUUGGGAUAAUGAAGGGUACUUCGAGCAUCAUUCCUCAGCUGUUUAGUAAACCAGCUCUACAGAGACUUGCCUUUCUAAUUCUGCAGCUACAUGGGUAGAAAUUAAUCUACUUGAAAAUGAAUUAGCAAUAUAAAAAUGUAAUAUUUUAUGAUUAAUAUUAACUAGAAAUUAAGACUGAAUUAUUCAACUUCAGUUUGCCAUUCUUUGAAAGAAGUUACAUUUUGGGAAGUUCUGUGAAGUUAGAAAAAGUUUGAAAGUGUGUUGCGGGAAAUAGUGGCUGACUAGUGUAAUGAAUUGAAACGUUGGGAACUCUGUGCCCAAGGGACC
rnacentral:lncRNA from 1 species